rnacentral:lncRNA from 1 species
UUCAGAAGUUGAAAUGGCUACUUUAUCUGAUGCGAAAGCAUCAAUUACAGUGAAUGCUCAAACUGUUUAUAAUGCUUAUAAACAGGCGUUAGAGCAUGCUAGGCCUAAUAUUCCAACCCCUACUUCGUCUACAUCACAGGCGUCAAAAAGAGCUGCUGGCUUAAUAGCUCUUAAAUUGUGGACGGAGUUCAGGGGUACUCAAG